UUUGUACUUCCUCCGUUCGGAAUUACUUGUCGCAAAAAUGGAUAAAAGCGGAUGUAUCUAGAACUAAAAUACUUCUAGAUACAUCCAUUUCUUUGACAAGUAUUUCCGAACGGAGGGAGUAUGCU
rnacentral:pre_miRNA from 1 species